AUACAGAGGGUGCGAGCGUUAAUCGGAAUUACUGGGCGUAAAGCGCGCGUAGGCGGCUUAUUAAGUCAGAUGUGAAAUCCCCGGGCUCAACCUGGGAACCGCAUCUGAUACUGGUAAGCUAGAGUUUUGGAGAGGGAAGUAGAAUUUCAGGUGUAGCGGUGAAAUGCAUAGAGAUCUGAAGGAAUACCAGUGGCGAAGGCGACUUCCUGGCCAAAAACUGACGCUGAGGUGCGAAAGCGUGGGUAGCAAACGGGAUUAGAUACCCCAGUAGUCC
rnacentral:rRNA from 1 species